rnacentral:rRNA from 1 species
CAAGUCGUACGAGAGUUUUUAACUCAAGUGGCGGACGGGUGAGUAACCCUUUAGAAUUUGCCUUUAGGAGGGGGACAACAACUGGAAACGGUUGCUAAUACCCCAUAUGCUUUCGAGUGAAACGGUUUUUCCGCCUAAAGAGAAGCUUGCGGCUGAUUAGCUUGUUGGUAAGGUAAUGGCUUACCAAGGCGACGAUCAGUAUCUGGUUUGAGAGGACGAUCAGACACACUGGAACUGAGACACGGUCCAGACUCCUACGGGAGGCAGCAGUGGGGAAUUUUCCGCAAUGGGCGAAAGCCUGACGGAGCAAUACCGCGUGAGGGAUGAAUGCCUAUGGGUUGUAAACCUCUUUUUUCAGGGAGGAAUCAAUGACGUUACCUGAAGAAUAAGCAUCGGCUAACUCCGUGCCAGCAGCCGCGGUAAGACGGAGGAUGCAAGUGUUAUCCGGAAUCACUGGGCGUAAAGCGUCUGUAGGUGGUUUGAUAAGUCAACUGUUAAAUCUUGAGGCUCAACCUCAAAAUCGCAGUCGAAACUAUUAGACUAGAGUAUAGUAGGGGUAAAGGGAAUUUCCAGUGGAGCGGUGAAAUGCGUAGAGAUUGGAAAGAACACCGAUGGCGAAGGCACUUUACUGGGCUAUUACUAACACUGAGAGACGAAAGCUAGGGUAGCAAAUGGGAUUAGAUACCCCAGUAGUCCUAGCUGUAAACAAUGGAUACUAGAUGUUGAACAGAUCGACCUGUGCAGUAUUAAAGCUAACGCGUUAAGUAUCCCGCCUGGGAAGUAUGCUCGCAA